rnacentral:rRNA from 1 species
UAUACCCUGGUAGUCCACGCUGUAAACGAUGUCGACUUGGAGGUUGUUCCCUUGAGGAGUGGCUUCCGGAGCUAACGCGUUAAGUCGACCGCCUGGGGAGUACGGCCGCAAGGUUAAAACUCAAAUGAAUUGACGGGGGCCCGCACAAGCGGUGGAGCAUGUGGUUUAAUUCGAUGCAACGCGAAGAACCUUACCUACUCUUGACAUCCAGAGAACUUAGCAGAGAUGCUUUGGUGCCUUCGGGAACUCUGAGACAGGUGCUGCAUGGCUGUCGUCAGCUCGUGUUGUGAAAUGUUGGGUUAAGUCCCGCAACGAGCGCAACCCUUAUCCUUUGUUGCCAGCGAUUCGGUCGGGAACUCAAAGGAGACUGCCAGUGAUAAACUGGAGGAAGGUGGGGAUGACGUCAAGUCAUCAUGGCCCUUACGAGUAGGGCUACACACGUGCUACAAUGGCAUAUACAAAGAGAAGCGACCUCGCGAGAGCAAGCGGACCUCAUAAAGUAUGUCGUAGUCCGGAUUGGAGUCUGCAACUCGACUCCAUGAAGUCGGAAUCGCUAGUAAUCGUAGAUCAGAAUGCUACGGUGAAUACGUUCCCGGGCCUUGUACACACCGCCCGUCACACCAUGGGAGUGGGUUGCAAAAGAAGUAGGUAGC